UUUUCUAGAACAACAAAUAUAGAUAAAAGAAAAGAAGAAAUUGAAGAUACACAUAAGAAAUACAUCUUAAAUGGAUAUCCAAAAAGAUUACUAAAUGAUUGGUUCCACAGAUUUUUAAGAAACAGGUUUAAAGUUAAACGUUGUCAAGAAAUAAUAAAGUUAUCAAAUAUGAUGAUCAUCAGAAAUAAUGCUAAAGAUAUAUUAGAAGAAGAAGGUGUUGUUUAUCGGAUA